rnacentral:rRNA from 1 species
CGCGUAGGCGGGAGUGGCAAGUCGGUCGUGAAAUCCCUCGGCUCAACCGAGGAGCGUCGAUCGAAACUGCCGUUCUUUGAGGGUUGCAGAGGAGACUGGAAUUCCCGGUGUAGCGGUGAAAUGUGUAGAGAUCGGGAGGAACACCGGUGGCGAAGGCGGGUCUCUGGGCAAUUCCUGACGCUGAGGCGCGAAAGCGUGGGGAGCAAACGGGAUUAGAUACCCCGGUAGUCCACGCUGUAAACGAUGACGACUAGGUGUGGGGGGGUUCGAGUCCCUUCCGUGCCGCAGCUAACGCAUUAAGUCGUCCGCCUGGGGAGUACGGCCGCAAGGUUGAA